ensembl:lncRNA
UAAUGAAAUGGGCUUAUUUUAAUAUGCUAUUCCCUGUUGUUAUCUCAGGACAUACAGUAUGUUUAGUGUAAUAUAAAAAUAAAAAGCACCAGAAGUACUUCAUCUUGUCACCCUGAUUGAAAAUCAGCUGAAUCAGUGAAGUGAACAGAAUAUACAUAAAGUAAUGCAUAUGACUUUUUCGCUCUAUAUUCCAAGUCGUAUAAGGCUAAACAAUAAAAUGUAAUUUAUUCUUUGCAAAUCAUCCCCUUAAACAUCAGUUCUAAUAAAAUGUGUUCACUCUUAUACGAAAUAUUAUGCACAAUAUAACGUUUAUCAUUCUUAUUAAAUUAAAUGUGUAAUAAGCAGGAUAAUGUACAGAGGCAAAAUGAACCCUUCAGGGUGAUAAAAGGUCUAAUCCUGAUCACCUAGUGGGGCUUAUUUUACAGCCGAAACACAUUGCUAAGUAAUGAAGACAGCUUUCGUUUAUGGAUGAACUAUUCCUUUAAGGAGAAAUUAACACAUUAAAACUGAUUCACUGUGACAAGAAUGCACUGCCCUCUUACCUCAACUCCACCUCACAUUGUAGAUUCAAGGCCAGAUUCUGAAAACCUUUCUACCCGCCAUCAGAAAGAGGUUUUGCAACAGUAAAAUAUGCAUCCCACGUUAUCACAUAUAGGUUGUAUUCUUUCGAUGACUGGUCUGUUUUUAGAGCUCAUUGCUCACAUAAUGCACUCAACUCAUACUUGUUUCGCACAGCACUUCUCUGUGGUGUUUAAUGUAGUUCUUGGAUAAGUGCCACACUGUACCCUUAUGUGCACAUAAAUUAUUGAUAUUCUUGACCAAUGAUGUUUGUGGUAGUUUGUAUUUUAGCACUAUUGUAAAAGGACUGAUGAGCAGAAAGAUAUUUAAGUGAGAUACAGUCACCGCUGCAAAGCUAAAUGUUUGUUUAUUAGCUCUGUUCCAACACUAGUUAGCAUCCUAGUGCAUCAUAAGCACAUUCCUGACUCAAAGGCAGUUCCAGCAAUCUGCUUUCUAAGAAAACCUGUUUUGGCCCAAUUCUUAGCCUUUGUUGCAUGCAGUAUGUCCAAUUCCAAAAUUAUCUUCUUUCAAAAAAUUCCUCGAAAAUGGUAAACAUACUUCAUACUUUUGUUUCAUUCAGUAUAGAAAGUAUAGAUAAACAUAAUUCAAUUAAUUAAAAAAUGUGGAUGCUUGGCAACAUUCUUAUGUCAGAAUCAGUUGUAACUACAGACUGUGAGAAGCACUAUCUGUGUCACUGUAUGUCAUUUCAGUUCCAUUUCAGUUAACAUGCCUAUGUAGCUCACUAAGUUUGGGGACAGAGCUAUUGUCAUUGCUAAAUUAACUGUAUUGUGACUAUAUUCAUUUAAUGGCAGGCUAUGCAACAGGCCUUUCAUUGUUUUUAUGGGUCUUGAAUCAUUAAUGAAUCCUAUCAAAAGCAGAGAUUUUUUUUUUCUUUCAGUCAGCACAUUAAUGCCAAUGUUAUCAAGCUUUAGGCGGAUAAUUCAUCACUUUCUUUGUUUGCUGAGCAAGUGACUGCAAAGGGUUUUAUAUUUGGCACUAAGAGUAGUUCUUUGUCUCAUAUUCGUGGCUCAAUAAAAUAAAGAUAUCAAAUGUGAGUUUAGGAUUG